rnacentral:rRNA from 1 species
UACGUAGGGGGCAAGCGUUGUUCGGAAUUACUGGGCGUAAAGGGCUCGUAGGUGGCCAACUAAGUCGGACGUGAAAUCCCUCAGCUUAACUGGGGAACUGCGUCCGAUACUGGAUGGCUUGAGUUUGGGAGAGGGAUGCGGAAUUCCAGGUGUAGCGGUGAAAUGCGUAGAUAUCAAGAGGAACACCAGUGGCGAAGGCGAGUCCCUGGACGAUACCUGACACUGAGGCACGAAAGCUAGGGGAGCAAACAGG